rnacentral:rRNA from 1 species
CGGGGAGGCAGCAGUGGGGAAUAUUGCACAAUCGGGGGAAACCCUGAUGCAGCCAUGCCGCGUGUGUGAAGAAGGCCUUCGGGUUGUAAAGCACUUUCAGUAGGGAGGAAGGUAGUGUAGUUAACACCUGCAUUAUUUGACGUUACCUACAGAAGAAGCACCGGCUAACUCCGUGCCAGCAGCCGCGGUAAUACGGAGGGUGCGAGCGUUAAUCGGAAUUACUGGGCGUAAAGCGCAUGCAGGCGGCUUGUUAAGUCAGAUGUGAAAGCCCGGGGCUUAACCUCGGAAUUGCAUUUGAAACUGGCAGGCUAGAGUCUUGUAGAGGGGGGUAGGAAUUUCAGGUGUAGCGGUGAAAUGCGUAGAGAUCUGAAGGAAUACCAGUGGCGAAGGCGCCCCCCUGGACAAAGACUGACGCUCAGAUGCGAAAGCGUGGGGAGCAAACAGGAUUAGAUACCCUGGUAG